rnacentral:rRNA from 1 species
GCAUAUCAAUAAGCGGAGGAAAAGAAACUAACAAGGAUUCCCUUAGUAACGGCGAGUGAAGAGGGAAGAGCUCAAAUUUUAAAUCUAUCAUGUUGUACAUGAUCGAGUUGUAAUUUGAAGAAGCGUUUUCUCGUACUUUAUGAUCAGUAUAAGUUCUCUUGGAACAGGACAUCAUAGAGGGUGAUAAUCCCGUCUGUUACUGGUUGUGAGGUUCGUUAUGAUACGCUUUCAAAGAGUCGAGUUGUUUGGGAUUGCAGCUCCAAAUGGGUGGUAAACAUCACCUAAGGCUAAAUAUUUGCGAGAGACCGAUAGCGGACAAGUACCGUGAGGGAAAGAUGAAAAGAACUUUGAAAAGAGAGUUAAAAAGUAUGUGAAAUUGUUGAAAGGGAAACGAUUGAAGUCAGUCGUGCAGUCAUCAAUUCAGCGGUUAACAUUUUUAUGUUUCCGUGUAAUUUGGUGUCUGUUGGUUAGCAUCAAUUUUGAUUGUUAUAAAAAGGUUAAGGGGAUGUGGCUCCUUCGGGAGUGUUAUAACCCUUAGCGUAAUGUGACGAUUAGGAUUGAGGUUUGCAACGAAUACCUUUUAGGGCAGUUUCCCUGGCCUCUCGUGGAAUUAUAGAUAGUUAAGAGCAUGCUUCUUACUGUCUAUGAUUCUACGAAAAGGUUAGUGUAAAACUAAUUCGUUAAGGAUGUUGACGUA